UCAGCUCAUAACUGCCAGCGCUGACCAUUUUCAACUCAGCUCAUAACUGCCAGCGCUGACCAUUUUCAGCUCCGCUUAUAACUGCCAGUGCUGACCAUUUUCAGCUCCGCCCAUUCUUGCCAGCGCUGACCAUUUUCAGCUCCGCCCAUAAAUGCCAGCGCUGACUACUUUCCAGCUCCGCCUAUUUCGCCAACGCUGACUACCUUUCCCGAGCAUAAUCAUCGGAGUUCACUUUCCAGAGCUAUGUUUAUUCUUUCCAGCUCCGCAUAUUCUUGCCAGCACUAUUACUUUCCAGCUAUGUUUAUUCUUGCCAGUACCGAU
rnacentral:lncRNA from 1 species